rnacentral:rRNA from 1 species
UACGAAGGGUGCAAACGUUGCUCGGAAUUAUUGGGCGUAAAGCGCACGUAGGCGGCUUGGCAAGUCGGAUGUGAAAUCCCUCGGCUCAACCAAGGAAGUGCAUCCGAAACUGCCGAGCUUGAGUACUUAAGAGGAUCGCGGAAUUCCCGGUGUAGAGGUGAAAUUCGUAGAUAUCGGGAGGAACACCAGUGGCGAAGGCGGCUCACUGGACCGAUACUGAC